GUGCUCACUUCAGCAGCAAAUGUACUAAAAUUGGAAUCAUACAGAGAGGAUUAACAUAGCCCCUACACAAGGAUGACAUGCAAAUUUGUGAAACAUUCCAUACUAAA